ACGUAGGGUGCGAGCGUUAAUCGGAAUUACUGGGCGUAAAGCGUGCGCAGGCGGUUUCGUAAGACAGAUGUGAAAUCCCCGGGCUUAACCUGGGAACUGCGUUUGUGACUGCGAGACUUGAGUGCGGCAGAGGGUGGUAGAAUUUCAGGUGUAGCGGUGAAAUGCGUAGAGAUGUGGAGGAAUACCGAUGGCGAAGGCAGCCACCUGGGUCAACACUGACGCUCAUGCACGAAAGCGUGGGGAGCAAACAG
rnacentral:rRNA from 1 species